rnacentral:SRP_RNA from 1 species
GCUGGGCAUGGUGGUGCAUGCCUGUAGUCUCAGCCACUCGGGAGGCUGAGGCAAGAGGGUCUCUUAAGCCCAAGAGUUUGAGGUUGCUGUGAGAUAUGAUAUCACAGCACUGUACUGAGGGUGACAUAGUGAGACUGUCUGAAUCCCCUCCCAAAAAAACCACUUUUUUUUUUUUUUGAGACAGAGUCUCACUGUGUCACCCUUGGUAGAAUGCAGUGGUGUCACAGUUUAUAGCAACCUCAAACUCUUGGGCUUAAGUGAGUCUCUUGCCUCAG